AUGCUGCUAAUUGCUAAAACUACGGACAAGAGUCGGGCAACUCUGCUUUUCUUGACGAUCUGUACAGAUUCGAGUACGUUGUUGUCUACAACGCCGGCUGAACAAGUAGGCAACCGAGGUGCGAGGGGGCUCCCCCUUUUGACCCCUUGGCAGAUCUUGAGUAUCACUGGCACAUACGCUGGGCAAUACAUCAUGCAUGGUUUCAUGGACAUCAAGAUGAAGGAGUGGGCGGAACCUAAUGACCCGCAACAUCGUCAAUUUGCCAUCGUGCCCAGUUUGGUUGUCUCCAUUAUUGGAGGCUCUAGCGACAUCGGUUGUGUUAGUAUCAUUGCAUUGGUAGAUACAUUGUUCCCACCAUGGCGUCGAACAUAUAAAAUACGACAUCAUGAUAUAUAUCGCUAA
rnacentral:rRNA from 1 species